GGUGAACGCUGGCGACGUGGAUAAGGCAUGCAAGUCAAACGGCUCUUCGGAGCAGUGGCAAACGAGGUAGUAACGCGUAGGAACAUACCCUUAAGUCAGGAAUAACUAUGGGAAACCAUAGCUAAUACUUGAUAGUCUCUUCGGAGUAAAGAUUUAUCGCUUAAGGAAUGGCCUGCGUAGUAUCAGCUAGUUGGUAAGGUAAUGGCUUACCAAGGCUAUGACGCUUAGGGGAGGUGAGAGCCUGACCCCCACCGAUGGUACUGAGAUACGGACCAUACACCUACGGGUGGCCGCAGUCAAGAAACUUCCGCAAUGGACGAAAGUCUGACGGAGCGACGUCGCGUGAUCGAUGAAGUCCUUAGGGAUGUAAAGAUCUUUUAUGAGGGAGGAAGUUUAUUGACGUUACCUCAUGAAUAAGGGGUUGCUAAACUCG
rnacentral:rRNA from 1 species